rnacentral:lncRNA from 1 species
AUAGCCUGAGCCUUGUGGUUUCCAAAAAGUUUAAGGUAUUAACCUCGAAACAAAGAGGAAGACUUUGAAAACAAAAAGAGGGAGACAGAGACAGCAGCCCAAAGAAUGGACUUCAGCUUUGCAAGGUGGGCCUUUGGGCUUCAUUGUGUAUUUGAGCCACUGGACAAGGUUUUCAUCAAGUGAAGUGCAGAUAGAUAUUAUGUGAAAUGAACGGCUUAAUGUUAACAAAUUGACCUUAAGAAGGAAUAUGCCAUUGGUGGCGAUAAGAAAAUUGUGGUGGGGUAUCCAACAUGAGGUCCAUAUCUCACACAUCAUAUCAUCUGGAUAAGAGUAGAAUCCAGAGACCUUCAUUUUAUUGGACAUCAUUUGAUUUGCUUCACAUUAAAUCUUAUAUCCCAAAACCCAAAUCCUCAGCCAGAGGCAAUUGAAACUCCAUUUCUCUGCCACAAAAAGCUCCCCCGCCCCGACUCCCCUGGCAUCAACAGCACAAUUCUAAACCCAAAAACAUAAAAAAAUGGCAGCAAGUGUAGCAACAAUGGCGAUGCUCAAUGCAAAAUGCCUAAGCAUCAGCUCAACUAAGAUGAGCAGCCCAACAAAGCCAACCCCAAAGCCCUUCUCCCUUCUCUCCAUGCAGAACCUCCCCAAAGGCCUCACCAUCUCAAAACCAGCCAACAACUCAAACCUACCUUCUUCACUCGCUGGCAGCGCCAUUGCUGGAGCUAUCUUCUCAACCUUAAGUUCAUGUGACCCCGCCUUAGCUGCACAACAGAUUGCUGAAAUAGCUGAAGGAGACAACCGUGGGCUAGCUCUAUUGCUUCCCAUAAUCCCAGCGAUCGCUUGGGUCCUCUUCAACAUCCUCCAGCCAGCACUUAACCAGCUGAAUCGAAUGAGGAGCUCCAAAGGGGUUAUCAUAGGGCUAGGGCUCGGAGGAUUGGCUGCAUCAGGGUUCAUGUCAACACCGGAAGCAUCGGCCAGUGAGAUAGCUAUGGUAGCUGAUGCUGCAUCUAGUGACAAUAGGGGUACCCUUCUCCUCUUCGUUGUAGCACCAGCUCUUCUUUGGGUGGCCUACAACAUUCUGCAACCCGCUUUGAACCAGCUUAAUAGGA